GCUACCUUAGUUCACCAAAAUGCUUCAGCACAAGUGUACUAUAUGAAUCACUAUCAAUCUGUCUUGCAAGAAGACAUAGGUAGUAAAAAUGAAAGUGAGAACUCCCACUGUUGAGUGAGAGUCUCAAAGGGGGGAAAUAAGGGAGGAGACCACCCCUCAUAUUGUCUUAUGCCCAAUUUCUGCCUCCAAAGAAAGAAAAAGUAAAAACUAAAAGGCAGAAAUGAAAUCCACAAGCAGACAGCCCGGCGCCAAACCCUGGGCUUGGUAGUUAAAGAUCGACCCCUGACCUAAUCGGUUAUGUUAUCUAUAGAUUACAUUGUAUAGAAAAGCACUGUGAAAAUCCCUAUCCUGUUUUGUUCCCAUCUAAUUACUGGUGCAUGCAGCCCCCAGUCUUGUACCCCCUGCUUGCUCAAUCGAUCACGACCCUCUCACAUGCACCCCCUUAGAGUUGUGAGCUCUUAAAAGGGACAGGAAUUGCUCACUUGGGGAGCUUGUCUCUUGAUACAGGAGUCUUGCUGAUGCCCCUGGCCGAAUAAACCCCUUCCUUCUUUAACUCGGUGUCUGAGGAGUUUUGUUUGCGGCUCGUCCUGCUACAGACAAAUUCAUAGAGACAGAAAGACAAGACAUUAUCAGAUGUUGCGUUUCACUUGCUUCCAACAAGGAAGGCAAAUUUUCCAGCUUCCAUGAUGAUGGAAAACAGGUUAACUCCUUUGCCGGGUUUGAG
rnacentral:lncRNA from 10 species